rnacentral:lncRNA from 1 species
GCGAGUUCCAAACACGGGGGGCUCCUGGAAAACCCCCCCGGGGCUCAUCCCGCGGGGCCGGUUCUGCUGCUGGAGGGGAGCGACGGGUCCCCAAAUCCGGCUGGAAUCGCCGAGCCGGGGCUGAGCGAAGGGAAAAUCGACAUUUUCCCUUUAACCCCGCACAGGCACGGGUUUGUUUUGCUGAGCACGUGUCAACCCCAGUGACUUCUCGACCAAAAAAAAAUAAUCGCUUUUUUUUUUUUCCGCUGUAACAAUGGAGAAAACAAGAGGGAAAACAAGAGGGAAAACAAGAGGGGAAACAAGAGGGAAGAGCAGUAGAAAGAAGGGAUUUGGGGGGUUAAACAGACACAGGGACGUACCUUUGCCGCACGGAUUUUCCAGGCGCUGGCUCAGGGAUUUUCCAUCGUUCCCUCGGCGGUCGGGGCAGCCCGGGAGCCGGGAAUGCUGGAGCUGAGAAUGCGGGAUCCGGGAAUGAGGGAGCCGGGGAUGAGGGAGCCGGGGANNNNNNNNNNUCUGGAGCCGGGAAUGCGGGAGCCGAGAAUGCGGGAGCCGGGAAUGCUGGAUCCGGGAAUGCUGGAGCCGGGAAUGCGGGAUCCGGGAAUGCUGGAGCCGGGAAUGCUGGAGCCGAGAAUGCUGGAUCCGGGAAUGCUGGAGCCGGGAGCGUCUCCCGGCGCUGAAUCAGCGGCGGAUCCCGGCCCGGAGCUCCGGGAAGCUUCACCCGAGCAGAAGAGCGGCUGCGGGGCUGCGGGGCUUCAUCCCGGGCCAGCUUGGUUAUCUCUGCUGCUCGCAGGUUUUAGGGACGUUAAUGAGGUUUAUCACAGCGAAGUCACGUCUGUGUCCCGGCAGGCUGAGCUCAAAAAUCCCCCGCGUGUUUCCAGACCGUGACAUCACAUCUCAGCUCGGCUAAGUGGCUUUUAGAUAACAGGCGGUGCCCCCUCCCUGAGAAUUCCGAGAUAAAAACGCUGAAGAAGGGCGGUUUGCACACGCACAGGCUGAGGUUUAACAGCACGACUUAAUUUAUAUUGGGACAUUAAUUAGUCAUGCAGGAAGUAUUCAAACAAGAAAUUAAAGUGUUCAAACCAGAAAGUGAAGUAUUCAAACCAGAAAGUAUUCAAACC